GGGGUUUCUGUGAGAAUUAUUAAGUUGUCGACUACCGGCUUUAGUUCUUGACUUGCUCCAGCCAAAACCCAAGAUGAAAACCAUCAUUCUCAUCGCUGCUAUGUUUGGUGCUGUUAUGGCUGACCUACAUUCAUUACAUGACCAUGGCUCAGAAUAUCAACGCCGACCACUUAGGCCUCAUGGUAAACCAUGUCCCAAUCCAGAAAAACACCAAGGAAUACAAAGACUUCCGCAGCGAAAUGUACGCCAAGAACCACUUCUGCCAAUUUUACAAUUAGGACCACCAGUUCAACCACAGCUACCCAGACGAGUUUUACACCAAAGACGCCAUGGAAGGGCUCCACACCAAAGACGUCACGGACGGACUCCACACCAAAAUCCCCAUCACCCCUCUUUUCAAGACGACGAUGACGAUUUAUGGGAUAUGAAAUCUGCUGCGAGGAUUCGUUUUAUAAUGAAAUGUCUGUUGAUGUUGAAUUCUUUAAAUGAAGCUGAGGAAGAUGAUAGAGCUGACAUUGGUGAGGGGAAACGCCAUCCAGGUCACGUCCGCCGGAAUGACAUUCUCUGGACUAAAGUGAGAAGUAAUCAAGCUGAGCCUGAAAGACCUUCCGGAAAUUCCGAAAGCAGUGAGGAGGACUAACAACAAUUUUAAACAGGCUAUUUGAGACGACUGCGUGAUAAAAAAAAGACAGUGCUAGCAUCUCUUGAUUUGUUUUGAUUUAAUUAGCAUAGUAAAUUGUUUGUAUCGUU